rnacentral:rRNA from 1 species
UGCUCAGAAUGAGGUAGGGUACUGGCACAGUGCUCUGCUGAAUAUUUUCACCCAUGUCUUUUGCGCACUUUUUGUUUCCUGGGCGAGUUUGCUCGCCACCAGGACCCCCAUAUGAACCUUUUUUGUUUUUGCACUCAGCGUCAGUACAAUAAUUUAAUCUAUUAAAACUUUCAACAACGGAUCUCUUGGUUCUGGGCUCCAUGAAAAACCCAGCCAAAUGGCAUACCUAAUGGGAAUUGGAAAAUUCAGUGGAUCAUCAAAACUUUGAACCCACAUUGCGCCCUUUGGUAUUCCAAAAGGCAUGCUCUGUUCGAGCGCCAUUUGUACCCUCCAGCUUUGCUUGGUGUUGGGCAUAUUAAUGUCUCUUCCUGUCGGGGAGAGUCGACUUAAAAAAAGUGCACAUCGGGGCUCCUGGUUUCGGAACGCUCACCAAUUUGCCCUUGGUGCCCGCCAAGCGUGGGAUGCAAUAAGCCUUUUUCCCCCGCUGUUGGACCCCGACCAGGUAAGGAUACCCGCUGAACCCUAACGCUAGUCUCGUCCGGAGGAACGUCCUAAAGC